AGGUCGCUCUCACAGCCGCGGGGAGUGGGGCGGGGCGGGCAGGCAGAGGUGGAAUAGCCAAGUCCACCUCGGUGUGGAGGGUCAGGAUGGGAACUGGAGCUGGGAAAGAGUGCCAGAAAGGGGCAGGAGUCAGGGGGCCUGACCUUUCCACAUUCCUAAGUCAAAGGGCAGGCUGCAUUUUGGGCUGGUUGCCAAGGCUGGGGACAGCCGGGAAGAAAAAUAUCUGUGGAGUUCUGUGUCCUCCAGACAAUUGCACGACUCAACCCUGGAGAACAUCAUGUGGGCGGUCUUCGGCAGGCUACCGGAAGAAUUGUCAGUUUCACUGCUUGAGUCCUUCAAGAGUGAUGAGCCCUCCAUGGUUAAGAAUCUGCCUGCCAAUGCAGGGGACAC